GGGACAUUAGCUCAGUUGGUUCAGAGCGCAUGCUUCACACGCAUGAGGUCACUGGUUCGAAUCCAGUAUGUCCCA
rnacentral:tRNA from 1 species